AAUCAGCUGAGGGUUAGUCGGGACCUAACGCGAACCCGAAAGGGGUAGUGGAUGGACAACAGGUUAAUAUUCCUGUACCUGCUCACACUAAAAGUGACGGAGGCGAAUAGUUAGUGCGCACUGACGGAAUAGUGCGUUGAAGCCAGUGGUAACACGGCGAUAGUACACUGAGGCUACGGCCAAGGUGAUAAUCUAGCGAAUCGACUUCCAAGAAAAGCAAGUGAAGCAGCCCGUACCCUAAACCGACACAGGUAGUUGGGAUGAGAAUUCUAAGGUGCUCGAGAGAUUCAUGGCUAAGGAACUAGGCAAAAUCGACCCGUAACUUCGGGAGAAGGGUCGCCCACAUUUAUUUGUGGGCCGCAGUGAAGAGGUCCAGGCGACUGUUUAUCAAAAACACAGGGCUCUGCAAAAUCG
rnacentral:rRNA from 1 species